AUUUUACUGGGUUCGUACAUGUGCUGCAAAUGACAGCACUUGAAUUUCCAUGUGGUGUGUUUAAGGUCUGAAAAGUGCUUAGAUUUUGUAUAAAGUGCUUGAAAUAGCAUGAAAUCUUAAUUGCAUUACAUAAUGAAUCACUAUCUAACUGAAUAGUUCGCUUUUUUUGAGAACCACAUAUCUUUUCUAAUUUUAAUUCAAGAGGGCUUAUAAAUGGUUAAUUUAGCUUCAGAAGUGGGAACAUUUUCUCAACCCAUAAAGAAACACUCUUACCUUCAGUUUAUCAAAAAAAAUCACCUUCAAAAUCACCACAAAUGGAGAUAAAUGGAUUCCACUGGAGAGACAAUUGAAAACAGUUUGGCUGGCGACGCAUUUUGGUGUCACCUGCUUAGUAUGUUGCUAAUAUUAGCGUGUCAGCACACUAUUGUAGAAUCCUUUAGCACACAUGUGACUACUUUAGGUAAUUGGAAUAAGAUCACUAAUAAUUUAAUAAUAAAAGUGGGGAAUUGUCAGUCAAUGCAUGCAUGUAUUUACACAGCUGCAUAAAGUGACAAAUGAUGACCGUGAUGAUCCGGGCCUUGUUUUUAAAUGUAUUCAUUACUGUGGCUUAAAGCUUCGCUCGGUGCACAGUUUCAGAUUCAAACAUAUUUAGUGCAUGGUGUUUAUUUUGGAAACAUUUUGGAAUUGGAACCUUUUGAACUGGAUUCAGCCUUGGUUACCACGGAGAGCAUCCAUGUAUCUUUCAAACCUCUCUGACUUCAUGAACCUGCAGAAGAUAAUUCAACUUAAUUCACAUGUUAAAGGUAAGAAAACACAUUUUCUUAAGCUGUUUUAUUUCUAUGUGAUGGUCUGUAGUUUAGAGGAGUGUGUCCUCAAGAAAACUUAAAUCCAGACAAACAGAUUUGGCUGCCAGAGCUUCACUGGCAGAUAAAGCACUCAAGAGCCAACCAUCAUGAAUUUACUUAAAUUACUUUACUUAAGUUGGUUGUUAGUUUUUCAAUGUGAAACCUUUUAAUUUCGGUAUUUAGUGGAAUCAAUUGAUUAGCUAGUUAAAUUGUUUUGUAAAUUUACUACGUUAACUCUUGUCUUGUUGGGAAGUGGAGGCCCUUUUCCUUUGCACAAGUAAAGACAAUUAAAUUGUUUUAUUGUUCCCAUUUUCCAAAUAUAGUUCAUUUUUAAGCUGAAGUUUGAAUAUUAACCAUAAAAAAGAACUAUAGCAACACUAACGUUACUUAAUAUGGAAACUUGUGUUUUCAAGGACUCUUACUAUCUUUAUUUGAUUUGGUCAGAGUUGAUUCACGGAUGGAGGGAUAUCUGGUAGAAGAGAAGAGUAAUACCAGCAGCACAAUGAGUUCAUCAGCAGAGAACUGCAAAAACUCAGAAAGACCUCAUGAUGAAGGUGAGAAGAGUAUAAAGGGAGGACCGCUGAAUCAACAUAAGCGUAUCCACACUCAAGGAAAGUCUUACCCCUGUGACCAGUGUUGGAGGGUUUUCACUCAGCUGUCAGGUUUGAAGAUUCAUCGGCGUAUCCACACUGGAGAAAAGCCUUACCUCUGGGAACCGUGUGAGAAGAGUUUCAGUCUAUCAUCAAGUUUGGAGGUCCAUAAGUAUAUCUACGCUGGAGAAAGUUGUCAGUGCACACACACUGUUUCGAAAGCAUAUUUGAACUGAACUGUAUGAAAGCUUUUGCUGUUAUAAUGUGAUUUGGCUUGGGAAAAGUUGUCUGCGUCUCAAUAAUGUCUCAAUAAUAUUCAUAUGCAUACAACCUAUGUUGUCAAAUUGUAUUGUUUUUACUUCCGCUGUCAAAGCUAAUAUAGCAAUACACGAGAAUGCAAAAACUGAAGGAUUCUAAGAUAGUGUGCUAGCUUGCCAAUUGACUGUAAUUAUUUCAAAAUGCCACACUAGCAGCUAGGGUUGGGUAACCUUCACAUUGGAACCAGUACCAGGGCCAAAUGCAUAAAAUUUGGUACCUUUUUUGUGGGUAGUUUCUGUACUUCUGUCCCUUUUUUGUUAACAAAAAUGUCAUUUCAGUUGUAAAAAAAAACAAAUUUCUCUCACUACUGUGUUGUUUGUGUAAUAUUUCCCUGUAAAUAGCAUGCAAUUCAUGUACUGUUUGUUUCAUACUAAGGUGUCAGGCAUACUAAAAAAUCUCACAUGUAUGGUCGAUCAGCACACUUGCUAACCUCCAAUGAUCAUAGCCUAAAUCAGGAGACCGAACCUAACCAGGGUAUCUGGGGAUUUUCCCAACUACGUUAAUGAUUUUGCAAAGGCAUACUAACCUAAUAAUAACAAUAAUAAUCUCUUACUGGGAAUCAAUGUCAGAGUGUCAGAGACACAGAGCAUCCUCAUACCAUAGUUACUCACUCACUCCUACAAGUGCAAGAGGUGCUCUGUGUUUCUUUUCAUUCUGUUCAUCUGUUAUAAAUUAGUUUUUUGCUGCGGGAGAAAAUGAAUUUGUGGCACGAGAGCCUGUGAGAAGUUUCAAUUGGUCAAUGUGUGAGUUGACAGUCCUGUGGCUGACGCUAGUAAGAAUGCUAAGCUAACGCCAACCAAGAGAGUUAAAAACAGCAAGUUAUCUCCAACUUAUCCAACUAGCUAAUUAAAACUGACUUAAAGUCUCGUCGUACAUGGAGGGUUUAACUUUGGUGCUGGCUGCAGGCGUGCUAACGUUAGCCGUGGUUGCUUCAUUGAAUGUGUUAACAAUAGUUGUUUUAGGAAAUGAUGGUAAACUAAAUCAUUUGUGUCACACGUAUCAAUCCUCUGGGCCCCAGUAGGAUUAUAUAAAUGUUUCUUCAGUUCACUGUGAACCCUCUUAAAUGAGCAUUUAUCUUACACAAUCCAAACAAACACAAAGAAAUGGACAAUCACAAGUUGUUUUCAUUUUAAAACACACAACCUCCAUCCACAACAUUUGUCUCCAUUUGCCUCCUGAGUCAUCAUUCAGAAUCUUACAAAAGAGAUGCUUCACUGGAUGAUGCUAGGUUUUCUAAAUAAAAGAGAAAUGUCCCACACUCCAACCUAGAGUCCUGUACGGGUCCAAACCUGCACCUGCAGAGCUCAGAACCAGAACCAACCCAUUACCUGCAAUUAUCUCCAAGUCAAACCCAGAUCGUUAAAAAAAAGACCCACGAUCUGACCAGCGCUUCACACAGUCGUAUUUUUACUGCCGCAAUUGUAAGUGUUGUUAUAUAAUUAGCAGUAGUCUGUUCGUCUCAGUCACCAACUGUUGCCACUCACAAUGCUGCUGCGUCCACACGAUCAGAUGGACAUCGAUGUCAAUUAAGUCCUUUGUCAGUUUGUGAAAUCCAUCUCUGCCUGCAGUUUUAAAAGAUCUGAUCUUGGUCAUAGUGUUCUUGUCCUCUGUUACAGCGAUUUGAGAGUUGUGUUAUUGGAAAAAUUUCUGUUUACUGGCGCAGCACCUGAGCUCUUGCUGCAGCUGUAUGUCCUCAAAGAGGAUGUGCAAGCUUGCAGCUUUCACAAUAAAAGAGCAUCCUGGCAGCAGAUUAGGCUUGAUAAUAUUUAACUGAUUUAAAUGUUAAAAAUAGCCUACACAGUCAUUUUCUCCAGAGGAAACCAUACAUUGUUGUUUCAUCCACUGCCUACUGGCAUUUGAUAAUUUGUCAACGUCAAUAUAUUUUUUACCCAAGUUACCUGAACCGCUGCAGUACUCUACUCUGGUAUUUUAGGCUCUAUCAGAGGAAUUUCUGAUACUGGUAUAAGCAUCAGACCAAUUUAAAAGCUGUGUUAUGAAGCUAUAUGUUGGAAUUUUACAUCACAAUGUCUAAAAAACGCUAGACCUAUGUUAUAUGUUGUUGAGUUUUGUACCAAUGUUAUCCCAAAUGUUUCCAACAACAUCCCAGAGAAAUAUGUGAUAUUUUUCUCACCUCUAACUGUUGUAACUUCAGCAUAUCAGAAUUAGGAAGGAAGUCGGCAAAUGUGACUAAAUGUAACAUGAAUAAAGCUUUUACAUUC